AGCCAUGCAUGUCUCAGUGCACGCCUUUAUACGGUGAAACCGCGAAUGGCUCAUUAAAUCAGCUAUGGUUUACUGGACCGUACCCGUUAAAUGGAUAACUGUAAUAACUCUAGAGCUAAUACAUGCAACUAUGCCCUGAACCGAAAGGCGAGGGGUGCACUUAUUAGAUCAGAAGCCAACCGGGCACUGGCCGCAAGGCUGGUGCCCGUUUUUUUUCUGGUGACUCUGGAUAAUUGUUACAGAUCGCAGUCGGCCAUGAGUCGGCGACGGGUCCUCCAAAUGUCUGCCCUAUCAACUUUCGAUGGUAGGUGACCUGCCUACCAUGGUGAUAACGGGUAACGGGGAAUCAGGGUUCGAUUCCGGAGAGGGAGCCUGAGAAACGGCUACCACUUCCAAGGGAGGCAGCAGGCGCGCAAAUUACCCACUCCCAGCACGGGGAGGUGGUGACGAAAAAUACCGAUGCGGGACUCCCAAACGAGGCUCCGUAAUCGGAAUGAGUCAACUAUAAAUCCUUUAACGAGGAUCAAUUGGAGGGCAAGUCUGGUGCCAGCAGCCGCGGUAACUCCAGCUCCAAUAGCGUAUAUUAAAGUUGCUGCAGUUAAAAAGCUCGUAGUUGGAUCUCGGUAUCAUUGUUGCCUGCUGGCCUUAGAGGCGUUCGCCGGCCUAUCAGUGCAUGGGUGAGCCUGUGUAUUGUGUGGCUGGCAGCUUUGGGUCGGUGUGGCGGCGGUGACACCUUUCAGCCAUGUCUGUGGUGAAAUAUCCACAGGUGUAGGCGAGUGCCAGGCGUAGCCCUGCAACUGUGGGGUUCGUCGGCUUGUCUGCAUGCCUAUGGAUGCCCUUCAAAAGGUGUCUGUGGGCGGAUGGCACGUUUACUUUGAACAAAUUUGAGUGCUCAAACCAGGCCGAUGCUGCCUGAAAAGUUUUGCAUGGAAUAAUGGAAUAGGACUUCGGUUCUAUUUCGUUGGUUUUCGGAUCCGAAGUAAUGAUCAAAAGAGACAGGCGGGGACGUUUGUAUGGCUGCGCUAGAGGUGAAAUUCUUGGACCGUAGCCAGACAAACUAAAGCGAAAGCAUUCGUCAGGCAUGUUUUCAUUGGCCAUGAGCGAAAGUCAGAGGCUCGAAGACGAUCAGAUACCGUCCUAGUUCUGACCAUAAACGAUGCCAACUGACGAUCCGUGAUGGUAGCAUUUAAACCUUCCUCACGGGCAGUCCCCGGGAAACCAUUAAGUCUAUGGGUUCCGGGGGAAGUAUGGUUGCAAAGCUGAAACUUAAAGGAAUUGACGGAAGGGCACCACCAGGAGUGGAGCCUGCGGCUUAAUUUGACUCAACACGGGAAAACUCACCCGGGCCGGACACUAUGAGGAUUGACAGAUUGAAAGCUCUUUCUUGAUUUGGUGGUUGGUGGUGCAUGGCCGUUCUUAGUUGGUGGAGCGAUUUGUCUGGUUAAUUCCGAUAACGAACGAGACUCUGGCCUGCUAAUUAGUUCUCCUGUCCACUGUACUUGUGCAGGCGGGCGCUUGCCAAAUCUGCCCUAUACGGUUGGCCCGUUGGUGCCGCUGUUGGUCGCGCUGAGUGUUGGCCGCAAGGUUGACGCUUGGUGUGCUGGCAGUGCAUGCCGGCGGGAUGACUUGGGUGGGUAGAGCAGUGUCUGCUUCCGAGUACGGCGCGGGUGUCUACUUCUUAGAGGGACAAGCGGGAGAAGCCGCACGAGAUUGAGCAAUAACAGGUCUGUGAUGCCCUUAGAUGUCCGGGGCCGCACGCGCGCUACAAUGACGGUGGCAACGAGUCUGACUUUCUGGCCCGAAAGGGUUGGGUAAACUGGUCAAUCACCGUCAUGACAGGGAUCGGGGCUUGGAAUUGUUCCCCGUGAACGAGGAAUUCCUAGUAAGUGCAAGUCAUAAGCUUGCGCUGAUUACGUCCCUGCCCUUUGUACACACCGCCCGUCGCUACUACCGAUUGAAUGGUUUAGUAAGGUCCUUGGAUUGGCGCCAUUGAAGCCGCAGGGCUCAGGCGGUGCUGAGAAGACGACCGAACUUGAUCAUAGAGA
rnacentral:rRNA from 1 species